rnacentral:lncRNA from 1 species
AGAGGACCUGUUUUCUCAUAUCAUCACAUCUGAUGGAUAUGCCAAACUUCAUCCAAAUUCAAACAGGCACACCCUGAAUGACAUGGGGAAAUGGAAGGAGAAAAAAAAAAACAAUGCUAAAAAGCCUAGAGAUGACCACAUAUGAAACGACCAUGUGUGUAAAGGAUUGCUGGAAAAUAAAUCAGGCUUGGGUCCCAGCUCCAAAAUGUCUCAUUAUCUGUAUUUGAAUAUCCCCAAAUUUGAAAAAUUCAAAAUCUGAAACACUUCUGAUCCCAAGCAUUUCAGACUCCUAAGAGUUAAUACGAAGUAGAAAGAGAAGUUGGAGUUAAGCAGCUCGUUCCAGUUCUGAUUUUGCCAUUUCCUGUCUGAGUGACCUGACUUCCCUCUCUGCCUCCAGCCAUGACUGUAAGUUUCCUGAGGCCCUCACCAGAAGCCGAGCAGAUGUUGGUGCCAUGCUUAUACAGCCUGAAGAACUGUGAGCU